GUCGUCUACAAACACAGAGUGACGUCCAGAGCUCUGCUGGAGCUGUGGGGAAGUUCAUGAAUGUUAUAGUUGAUGUUUCAGAAAAAAGGAAGAUGUUUGAGAACCAACAAAACACAGACCACAGAUGAACAAAGUGAUGUGGCACUAGGAGACUUUAUACCAGAUGCCCUCCCUGUUACUGUGUUUAGAGGAAGAAAAGCAGCACAUGGCAGAGACCAGAGCUUCUUCACUGGAAUAAAUCUUCACACUGUCCAGCUCCAAACUGUGUGUCUCUGUCCCUGUGCUCUUUGUGUUUGAUUCUGUUUAAGACAAAACAGAACUGUGG